rnacentral:rRNA from 1 species
CCUACGGGAGGCAGCAGUGGGGAAUAUUGCACAAUGGGGGAAACCCUGAUGCAGCGACGCCGCGUGAGUGAAGAAGUAUUUCGGUAUGUAAAGCUCUAUCAGCAGGGAAGAAAAUGACGGUACCUGAUUAAGAAGCCCCGGUUAACUACGUGCCAGCAGCCGCGGUAAUACGUAGGGGGCAAGCGUUAUCCGGAUUUACUGGGUGGAAAGGGAGCGUAGACGGCAGCACAAGUUCGGAGUGAAAUGCCGGGGGUUAACCCCGGAACUGCUAUUGAAACUGGGGAGCUAGAGUGCAGGAGAGGUAAGUGGAAUGCCUGGUGUAGCGGUGAAAUGCGUAGAUAUUAGGCGGAACACCAGUGGCGAAGGCGGCUUGCUGGACUGUUACUGACGUUGAGGCUCGAAAGCGUGGGGAGCAAACAGGAUUAGAUACCCCUGUAGUC